rnacentral:misc_RNA from 1 species
AAAGUCGUAACAAGGUUUCCGUAGGUGAACCUGCGGAAGGAUCAUUACUGAUUUUGCAAACCGAGCGUUAGCGAUCAACUUUUAUAUUUAAAACCCACUCUUUAUAUGUAUUUUUUUUUUUAUUUUGAAAAAAAUUUAAAGAUCACUUUCAACAACGGAUCUCUUGGCUCUC